UAUGUGAUCGUCUCUCGCAUAUCAAUAAGCGGAGGAAAAGAAACUAACAAGGAUUCCCCUAGUAACGGCGAGUGAAGCGGGAAGAGCUCAAAUUUGAAAUCUUAAAGGGUUUCCCUUUACGAAUUGUAGUUUAAAGAAGUGUUUUCUGUUGAGGUUUUGGUAAAAGUUCUUUGGAAUAGGACAUCAUAGAGGGUGAGAAUCCCGUAUUUGACCUUUACUUUCAACUUUGUGAUACACUUUCAAAGAGUCGGAUUGUUUGGGAAUGCAGUCCAAAAUGGGUGGUAAAUUUCAUCUAAAGCUAAAUAUUGGCGAGAGACCGAUAGCGAACAAGUACCGUGAGGGAAAGAUGAAAAGAACUUUGAAAAGAGAGUUAAACAGUACGUGAAAUUGUCAAAAGGGAAGCGUUUGACACCAGUGUUGUUUUUCUGAAAAUCAAUUAAAGAACUGUUUAUGCUAAGCUGUUUAGACUUUAUCAGCUAUCUGUUUAGUUUUGAGCUUUUCUUUAAUGCACUUUUACAGUUAACAAGUCAACAUCAAUUUCUUUUGCUGUAAAAAAGCUUGAGGAAGGUGGCUUGAGAUUCGUCUUAAGUGUUUAUAGCCUCUUGCCUAUGCAGUCGGAGAGAUUGAGGUCUGCAGCGUAGAUCCUUCGGGGCUAAAUGCAUUUGUGCUAAGUUAUAGCAUUUUAUAGACAACUUGUUGACUAUGAUUUGUCUUGUAGCUUACUCGCUUAUGUUAUUUUACCUACGCUUAGGAUGUUGAUCUGUAGUGCGUGCGC
rnacentral:rRNA from 1 species